GAACUUAUUCAGUGACACCUGAUGUUUGUACAGUAAAUUGUAAAUUUAACAGCUGAACAUGAACAGAAAUGUAGUUUAAUAUAUGGUAUAAAAAACACUCUUCAGAAGGUACCUACUCCCAUCUGUUCAUCACAAGAAGAUAGCUCAUAUGGCAGUGAGACUGCAAGAGGAAAUCAGGCCCAGAACAGAAGCGACAUUUUCUAUCUUUGCUGUUCUCUUCUGACCCCUUUUGCAUGUCUUCACCUUGUUUUGCUUUUAAAUAAAUGGACUGGGCUUUAACAUUAGCAGCAACAACUGCCUGAUGUUGACAUCUUUAAAACAAUUUCAAGGACUGUCAGGCAAGAGGAUUUUCCUCAUAAAAGCUAAAGGCUAAGGUUCUCAUCUUCCGCAACAUUUUCCAUUGCUUCUCAAACAAGUGAAGUCAGCGAUUUUUCUCCUGGGGGAGCAGUACAGCUGUCAGUAUCCCAAUCUACCCUCAAAAUGUGGUAUUCAUUUAAGAGUUCCGGGGAAGAGCAAAAUAGAUGUAACCUUAUUUGUUUAUUUUUAAAUUGUCAUGUUGUUUCAGAUCAUUGAAGAA